GUGCAAAGCAGUUGUUGUGGAGACAAAUAGGAUUGAUUUAACUCCAUUAACUGUUCGAUUUCCUGCUCAAGAAAAGAUGUCGGUUGUUAGGUCGUGGCAUGUCAGGCCAACUCUAUCUGGAAGGAUGGCAAAUGGAUUGAGUGGUCUAGUUUGAAAAGAGGGCGUUCUUCUGAGGAUGAAACACCUCAUGAAAAGUGAGAAAAGUUUGGUGACUGUAUUUUGGAAAGUAAAGAAAAAGGAUGAAACACCUCAUGAAAAGCGACAAAAGUUUGGUGACUGUAUUUUGGAAAGUAAAGAAAAAGGUAAAGAUUCGAGUAUUGUUAUCGAUCUUGUUGAGGCAGGGAGACAUCAAGAUGCAAGUGUAUUCCCUUCAUCUGUUCAAGAAAGUUCAUUUGAUAUAGGGCUAUCUGAAUUACCAUCACUGUGAUAAGAGCCGGAUCAAGGCAUGGAGCUUUCUGCUAUGGGACCCUCUCAUUCUACCCCUUCCCAAAAAAUAAAAUACUAGCUUUCGGUUUUGUUUCAUUGUGUUUUUUUUGAAGUGUAUGACAUCAUCUGGAUGUAGGGAAAUUGGGAAAAAAUUGUAGCAAACUACCCUUUUAUCUUUCUUUCUGUGCCAACUAUAACUCUUAUAAUGACAUGCUAUGUUACAAUAUAUGUUCCUUUCUAACUGUUUA